UACGUAGGGGGGCUAGCGUUGUCCGGAAUCAUUGGGCGUAAAGCGCGUGUAGGCGGUCCGGUAAGUCCGCUGUGAAAGUCGGGGGCUCAACCCUCGAAUGCCGGUGGAUACUGUCGGGCUAGAGUGCGGAAGAGGCGAGUGGAAUUCCAGGUGUAGCGGUGAAAUGACGUAGAUAUCUGGAGGAACACCGGUGGCGAAGGCGGCAUCCUGGACCAACACUGACGCUGAGGUGCGAAAGCGUGGGGAGCAAACAGG
rnacentral:rRNA from 1 species